CGGGGUGUGGCGCAGCCCGGAUAGCGCGCUUGCAUGGGGUGCAAGAGGUCCCGGGUUCGAAUCCCGGCACCCCGA
rnacentral:tRNA from 2 species